rnacentral:rRNA from 1 species
GAUGAACGCUGGCGGCGUGCCUAACACAUGCAAGUCGAACGGAGAUACGAUGUGAGCGAGAGGUGCUUGCACUGAUUAAUCUUUUCGUAUCUUAGUGGCGGACGGGUGAGUAACGCGUGGGUAACCUGCCUUAUACCGGGGGAUAACACUUAGAAAUAGGUGCUAAUACCGCAUAAGCGCACGGUGUCGCAUGACACAGUGUGAAAAACUCCGGUGGUAUAAGAUGGACCCGCGUCUGAUUAGCCAGUUGGCAGGGUAACGGCCUACCAAAGCGACGAUCAGUAGCCGGCCUGAGAGGGUGAACGGCCACAUUGGGACUGAGACACGGCCCAAACUCCUACGGGAGGCAGCAGUGGGGAAUAUUGCACAAUGGGGGAAACCCUGAUGCAGCGACGCCGCGUGAGUGAUGAAGUAUUUCGGUAUGUAAAGCUCUAUCAGCAGGGAAGAAGAAUGACGGUACCUGACUAAGAAGCACCGGCUAAA